ensembl:lncRNA
CCCGAGGGCGGCGCGAGCGGGCCCGAGCGGCCGGUGCUCAGCCCCGCUGCGGCCGCGCCGCGAUCCGCAGCCCUCCGUGGGCCGCCGGGCGGGGCUUCGGGCAGGAACGUGCUUCGGCCGGAACCGCUCCACCGGCGGCGCCCGAGCGGGGCUGCGCGGACAGAGCGCUGCGGCCGCGGCCAGCAGCCGGCGGCAGUGCGGGGGGGAACGGCAGACACGCAAACCGACACGCUGGGCCCGGGGCGAGAGAACCCGAGCGGGGUGAGGACGAGAAGCCGCGGUGAGGGGCUCGGGCCGGCGGUGAGCUCCUGCCCCGGCCGCUGGCAUGGAGCCCUGUGCUCAUGUCCCCGGGCACGGAGCGAGCAAGCCUGGAGGUGUAAUGGAUGCGGGGCCCAGAUGGUGUUUUAAAUGAGCAACAGGCGGAGGAGGAAGGACUUAGACCGUCACAAGGAGAGCUGUGGGCAUCGCGGGUGACUGGUGGAGCAGAAAAACUGCCCUUGCCUCGAGCUCAGCCCUGGCUGCUGGGGACAGGAUGGUGACCGCUGCAGCAGUGCUCACCCUCACAAGGAAAAUCCAUUGCGAUGUGAUGUACCGCAGGCCAGCGAUGGAUCUACCCCGUGGCAGGGUGCAGGCGUUUGGGUGCAGGGAGGCAGAAGCCACCUGUGAGGCUUUUGCAGGCUGCCCCCAAUUGCCGCAGUCUGGAGCAACCUGGUGUGUUGGUGGAGACAAUAAAGAACAAGAGUGGGGCAAGUGGCUGGAGCCUUUUGGAACCUACCGAAUAAAAAUGGGCUGAACGUUCCACCCUCCACAUGCCCCAGUCCUUGACAAGAAGUUAAAUUCUCUGGGGCUUGGGGGUAGCAGGAGCUGUUGCAGUACCUGACGAUAACCUGUCAGACAUUGAGGAAGGACAAUCCCCGGGUACCACAACAGAAUUGCAGCAGUUGUUGGGCAAAUUAGGUUAUUAGAGAAAACAUAUAUGCCCGACUUUUGGGUACUUGCUCGCCCACUGUACAACUUGCUUCAGAAAAAUAAGGGAUGGGACUGGAAUCCACAAUUCCUGGAUGACCUUGAUACCCUGAAAAUUAAGCCUAUUAAGAGACUGGGCCCAAUGCACCUGCAGGACCUGUUUAAGAGUGCAGUGGGGAUUUGUCACCACCACUUCAUACUGUGAAGCCUAUGCCUGCUACUUCUGAAAAAGUCAUACAUGGCCUUGCCAGCCACACGCGUGCUGCACGCGGCCCUAUAACACAAGUGUUGGGUGGCGAGAGCCAGCAGGAGCACCGUGGGGAUGCCCAGCCGGCAGUUGCAGGGUGGCCGCGUCUCUGGGCCUGAGCUCUGCUGGGCACGCAGGGGGAGGAGCCUCAAGGUGCUGCCGCAGCCCGUGCACAGCAGUGCUCCCCGGCCGCUCUGCAGCACAGAGGCCACCGCAAGGGGAAGGGGUGGUGGGGCAGGGACCGAGCCUCAGCCAGGCAGGCGGUGGCAAGGAGGACAGCCAGCACCUUACCCCAGCAGCAGCAGCAGCAGCAGCACUUUCCCCAGGCUCCCUUUUGGCGCUGACCCGGCAAGCAUUAGGUCUGCACAGCGGCCCAGCCUGCUCGCUCAGGCCAGGGCUUUGCUCUGCAGAGGCACAGCGGUGGGAGAAGGGAAGGAGGGAGAAGCUGUCCGCCAGGCCAGGGCGGGAGUGCACCUCCCAGAGCAAGGGCCAGCCUGGCAGAGGAAGAUGCGUGGGGCCUCCUGCCGCUCCCUGCGCUCCACGAGUGACGCGUCUCUUUGCCAUGUUUGCUUUGCAGAAUGAGCUUCCCAGAGCCUUUCAGUUUAUGAGACUUGGCAUACGCAGCAAUUGGGGCAAGUCGGGCAACACCUGCAUUUAUCGAGUGCAGGUUCAUGGGAAGGUAACGGGAACGAACGCCGUCGGCCAGGCACGAGGAGACCUCCUGCUCCAGAAAUAAAAAAGAGAAAAGCCUCCGAGCCGAGGAACGUGGCUGUUUGUUAGCGUGGAGCAGAGCGAUGUCGUUCCGCAGGCCCGCUCAAAGGCAGCAUCAGGUCGAGACAUAGCGCGAAACCUGGGCAGGCCUAUUAGGAACUUAAAAACAUUUCUUGUAAAGGCUCAGGCGAGAUGCAGCAGUGAAACAGCAAUUUAUCAAACGUUUUUGCAAAAACGGGUGUCCUAACCGCCAUCUUGUGGUCUUGUUCUGGAAGUUACAUUCGUUUAAUGGCCGACUGCAAAACCAGUAUCUUAAUACUUUUUACAGGCCCGAGAGGUGUGUGGACACCUGGGUGGGGGCAGAGCCCCACACACUGCCCACAAGGAAUUCCUUGCACAACCAGGGAGAAACUCCACUGGGCGGUUCAGAGGUGCAGCAAGCUGCUCGGGUGCCUUGUGCCUGGUGUGAUGGGCAGAUUUGUCCGUUGCUGAGGCUGCUGGAUCCUCCAGUCUGGUCUGUGCACGCUGAUGGGGCAGCCCCACGCAGGAGCCUCCCUCGAGGAGCAGCCAGAGCCCCGGGGAGAUCCUGGUUCAGCUCUCCUGGUUCUGCCCCCCGCCAUGCCUCCCCAUGCCUGUGGGGCCUUCCCCCGCACAGUCGUCUGGCCUGCCUGGGACAUGGCACCCCUGAAGCUCUGGCCCAGCUGUGGGGGCCUUGUGGAAGGGCUCUGGAGGAGUCAGGGGUCCCCAGGGUCAGGGAGGGCUGAGGCAGGGGGGUCCCAGGAAUGGGAGCUGGGAAACCUCAGGGAGCUUCUGGGAACCUGUGGGGUCAGGAGAAGGAAAUAGCAGGGCAGCCAUGAGGCCUGGUGGCCACACAGAGGCAUCUGGCAGGCACAAGAGGUGUGGUGGUGUGCUGGUGGAAUCACCCAAGGGACAGCAUGCAGGGAUUGUAGUGAUAGGACAAGGAGUAAUUGGUUCGAACUGAAACAGGGGCAGUUCAGGUUGGAUAUAAGGAAGAAGUUCUUUACUGUGAGGGUGGUGAGGCACUGGAACGGGUUGCCCAAAGAAGUGGUAAAUGCUCCAUCCCUGGCAGUGUUCAAGGCCAGGUUGGACAGAGCCUUGGGCGACGUGGUCUAGUGUGAGGCGUCCCUGCCCAGGGCAGGGGGGUUGGAACUAGAUGAUAGUAAGGUCCUUUCCAACCCUAACUAUUCUAUGAUUCUACGCCUUGGCACAGGAGGCACAGCCCCUCCGGCCUGUGGACCCAGGCGUAAGUUGUGGGGCAGCAGCACCCGGCACAGGCCCAACAAGGCUCAGGAGCUCGCAUGCUCUGGCUCCCGCAGCAGCUGCCAGGGGAGCCAGUUCUGCCUCUCGGGUCGGGCCCGGGAUGGCUGCGGAUGGGCUGCACCAGGACAACUGCAGCAUCUCUCCCAUUCUACCUCGUGCCCCAUUUGUGAUGUCACAGUCAUGGCCUCAUUCCUCAUAUCUCGGGCCUGGUGUGAGGUCAGCUACAUGGCACUCGGUUCCACGGCUGCCUGGCUGGGAGCAGCUUGCGCUGUCCUGUGGCACUGUGCGGCUGUGGCGGGAGCACUUCUGCCAGGGAUUGGCUUCAGCUUUUGCCUGUGCGGCUGUGCCUUGGACAGGCAAUUCUCUUAGGGCUGAGGAGCUUGCUUUCUCCCCAGCAUGUGGCAGGGAAAGGGUCCCUCAAAAUCACAAGGGGCACCAAGAUCCCCACUCACGAGGAGAGCUGCCGACAGCAUGGAGACUGGGUGUGUUAAUGGGGGAUUUGUUCCUCCUGGGGGCCUUAGCUCAGAGCGAGCACUGGCAGAGCCUACUGCGGGGCUGGUGGGGGACACGGUGGGGAAGCUGACAAGGGCUCUAUGCAGAGCAGCAGCCGUGGGGCUUGGGGAAGUUGCUGAAAGGCCCCCUGAGGCCCCAGGUCCAACUCCUGCGGUGCUGCUGCCAGUGCCAGCUCGGGGUCCUGGCCAGGGGACUCGGGGAUAUCCCUGCUGGUCUUCUGCACAAGCUGUCUCAGAGUGCCUGCUGCAGGCACUGUGCAACUCUGCCUGGGCAGCCUCUAGCAGAGCCGUGGGACAGCUCAGUCUUCUCCUCUCCCCCUGGGUCUCUGCUGCGGAGAGCAGCCCAGGGGACUUUUGGGUGCUGCAGGGAUCUUGGGAAGAUGUGAAUGGCUUUGGAGGAGCCUGUGCCCUCUCCCUCAUCGGAGCAGGACCCCUGGGAUGCCCCUCCAAGGCCAGGCUGGUACAGCAGGGCCUGGUGGGCAGAGGAUGACAGAGGGGACAUGGCUGUGCCGCCUUGCUGCUGCACCACCUGGCCCCCACCAUGGCGGGCCCGUCUCCUGGGAGCCUUCCCCAGGCGUGUCUCCUGGCCAGGGCUUCUGCACCAGCGGCUCCCACCUGCCUCAGACUGCAUGGCAUGGAGACAGAGCGCAAGAAAGACAGGGCUCUGUCUUUCUGCCCCACAGGUUCACCUAUUCUCGGGCGCUCCAGGGCAUGACCCAGCAGUGGCCUGCAUGCUGCAGGGACAGCUCACGACAAAAAGAGAGUAAGUUCAACUGUGCUAUCCCCUGCAAAGCGCUCUGGACUCCUCCAGAGGUGGAGGAGCCGAUGCUGGCAUGACUGCAGCAGACGGGGGACUGCGGGCUGGCCGGCUCUGGGCAUGCAUCUGCCUGACAAGUUUUUGCCAGGAGCUUGAAUCCAAAGGGGAGAGUGAACGCUUGCAGGCUAUUAGCCCCUGACCACAGACAGGGUGGACAGCUUUCUCAGGAAAGAUGCCAGAGGUCCUCUCGUACCCUCCCGCCUCCCCCUGGUGUUAACUGAACCGGUGAGGAUGAGGAGAAGAGGCUGCCUGUCACUCCGUGUUUGGGGCUGCACCCGACAGCCUUGCGGAGCCGGCAUCAUCCUGCUCCAGGGACGGCCUGGGACCAGCUCAGCUACGCAACUGCGGCAGCGCAGACUCCUGUUUCCAUAUCCGUGUGGGAUCCUCCGGCGGCCAUGGGGUACACCCCUAUGGUGGGAGCCCAGAGGCUGAAGCCGGGUGCCGCCCUCCUUCCCUGGGCGCGCUGUCCGUGUUGUGCCUGCGAGGGGUGCUGCCUGGCCCUCGCUCCUCUGCUCCCAGCAUGCACACAGCUGCCCCCUCCCCAGAGCAAAACUCUGGCCCUGCCCUGGCCACUGUGCUGGGGAGGGAGCACCCUGGCCCGGGACCAGUGCCCACCUCCUGCAGCGUCUGACACGCGUCCCAGCGGGUGUCCUCAAGCAGGCUCCUCAAGCUUUUCUCUGGUUACUUGCCAGGCGUGGUCUUGAUCGUUUCUGGCCGUCUGGCGCUGGCUCUGCUGUUCCUCCAGCGAUGGCUCACCACCUGCACCUCCACUGUGAAAGAGAUCACCCAGAUGAAGAGCGGCUGCUUGAUGAUCCUGUGCCUCAUCUUCUCGGCUGCUGUUGCUGGUGCCUACUUUGGGACCUUUCUGCCCAUACGGAUGCUGCGGGCACAGGAGGCAUCACAGGUCCUGCUGGACAAGCCCGUGAAUGAGCUGAUGUCUGUGUGGUAAGAGCCCUCUCCUGGCCCAAAGCUCAUCUGGUGUGGGAGUGGGAGCUGGGCCUGUGCUAUUUGCACUCCCGUGCAAGUGCAGCACCCAGGGCUCGUGCCUUUCCCUCUCUUCGCCUUUUGCUCAAGCUGGAGGUGAAGGAAAGCACUCACAAAGCAGGGAAAGAAAAGGGGGCUCGAGCACCUGUGUCUCUACUUGUCUCCGAGCUCGGAGGUGCAAGAGGGGCUGAGCAGCUCUCUGACAAGAUCCGUUCCGGUGUCUGCAGGAACUCUCUCAGUGUGCUGGGGGAACAAGCGGAGGGGGUGCAACAGCUGAGGAAGGAAGUGAAGAGCCUGGUUGCAGAGAUGAGACAUGUGAAGAAGGACUCCGUGCUCACACUGAACAUCCUGCUGAGGUGGUUGUCUGGCAUGUUUCACUUCCCCAGGAACUUCAGGACAUGAGAAUGGCAAUGUCUGCAAUGCCUUUGGAAGAGAACGUCCAGAUGUCUGCCUGGACUCUGAAAAGCGAAGCUGGAUAUCUCCCCGGGAUAUUGCUGGCUUCUCCAAGCAUCUCAGAGCCAGGUGGUCAUUCGGUUGCCCGCACAAGUCCAGCCAACAGCGAUCACUGUGCAGCACCCCUUGAAGAGGUCCUCUGGGCUUGGGGACAUCAGCAGCGCCCUGCGAGAUUUCACCGUCUCUGGAAUGGAUGAAGAAGGAAAAGAGGAAACUCUGCUCGGGACUUUCACCUAUGACAUAGCAAAAGAGCCGACCCAGACCUUCCCUCUGCAGAAUGAGCUUCCCAGAGCCUUUCAGUUUAUGAGACUUGGCAUACGCAGCAAUUGGGGCAAGUCGGGCAACACCUGCAUUUAUCGAGUGCAGGUUCAUGGGAAGGUAACGGGAACGAACGCCGUCGGCCAGGCACGAGGAGACCUCCUGCUCCAGAAAUAAAAAAGAGAAAAGCC